rnacentral:rRNA from 1 species
GGUCUUUAGUUUUUUAUUUAAGAUCAGGCCUGCCCAUUGAUUUGAAAUAUUAAAAGGCUGCGGUAUUUUAACUGUACGAAGGUAGCAUAAUCAUUUGUCUUUUAAUUGGAGGCUAGAAUGAAUGGUUUGAUGAGAAAUAUUCUUUCUUUUUCUAAUUUAUAUUAAUUUAAUUUUUUAGUUAAAAAGCUAAAAUUUUUUUAUAGGACGAGAAGACCCUAUAGAAGUUUACUAUAUUAAUAAUUUUUUAUCUUUUGCUUUUGAUAUAUUUUUUUAAAUUGUAUAGUUUUGUUGGGGUGACAUUAAAAUUAUUUUAACUUUUAAUAUUCUUUCCAUUAAUUUAUGUUUUUUUUGAUCCAGUUUUAUUGAUUAAAAGUUUAACUUACCUUAGGGAUAACAGCGUAAUUUUUUCGGAGAGUUCUUAUUGAUGAAUAAAGUUUGCGA